UACGUAGGUGGCAAGCGUUAUCCGGAAUUAUUGGGCGUAAAGCGCGCGCAGGUGGUUUCUUAAGUCUGAUGUGAAAGCCCACGGCUCAACCGUGGAGGGUCAUUGGAAACUGGGAGACUUGAGUGCAGAAGAGGAAAGUGGAAUUCCAUGUGUAGCGGUGAAAUGCGUAGAGAUAUGGAGGAACACCAGUGGCGAAGGCGACUUUCUGGUCUGUAACUGACACUGAGGCGCGAAAGCGUGGGGAGCAGACAGG
rnacentral:rRNA from 1 species